rnacentral:rRNA from 1 species
GACGGAGGAUGCAAGCGUUAUCCGGAAUGAUUGGGCGUAAAGCGUUCGCAGGUGGCUGCUCAAGUCUGCUGUCAAAGACCGGGGCUUAACCCUAGAAAGGCAGUGGAAACUGGACGGCUGGAGUGCAGUAUGGGUAGAGGGAAUUCCCAGUGUAGCGGUGAAAGGCGUAGAGAUUGGGAAGAACACCGGUGGCGAAAGCGCUCUGCUGGACUGCAACUGACACUGAGGGACGAAAGCUAGGGGAGCGAAAGGG